AGGGAAAAGCAAGGGAGAGAAAGUAGACUGCUUUAACCAAAACAGGAAUGAGCUAUUUGUUUUGACUGGCGCUGACUGAACUUGAACUAAUAUUAAAAUCUGAGGUCACAGCUCAGAGUGAGACACUGAUUUUCUGUCCUACUACAGCUAAAAGGUCACUUUUUGGGCAACAACACAAGCAAAAACAUUGGAGAAAAAAAGUUAUAUUCAUGUAUACACAUCCAACAUCCUUAUGAAGGAACAUUGCUUGUUGUAAACAUCCAUGAACAUGAAAAACAAACCAUCCUCGGUUUGCUUAAGGUGGCCUCUGCCAGCCCAAAACCUUAACACUUAAAGUACAUUUGUACAGACAGAAUACCUUUAUUUAAACCUCGAAUCAAAUAUUUAAGUAAAAAGAUAAAUAAUCCUCCCUCAUGCUGUAUGGUAUGAGAAGAGAUGGGCAUAUGUGUAUAUGCAGAACAGUGAUUGUCCAGACAGUGCAUCCCACCUGUGAUAAACACAUUAGAACAAACUAAAGAACAAUCUUGAUAGCACUUGAUAACAUUGUUCAGUUAUAUUCCAGUAAUAACUGAUUACCAAAGGUUCUGUUUGUCUAACACUUUUCAUAAUAAAAAAACAAUGAACAAGGUGCUUUGUGAUUUUUUUCAGUCAUCACCAGCUGUGUCAUGUGUCUUCACUGUUUACAUUCUCAUGCCUGCAAAAAGACAAGCAAGGACGGCCUCCAAAUUUGUGCCUACUGAGACUUUUUGUUGUCUCCAUUUUUCACAUGAACCUUCUUGACUACAAACAAGGCAACACUGUUAUUGUCAGUGUCCCAUGCAAUUCAGUGCCAUUUUAGCAGUUCAGAGUAAAUGGAGGAUAAAAUAACACCAUUUUUUUACACUGUUACGCUGUUUUUUAAUUAUUAUAUUAGCCAAGCCAACUUUGAAGCUAAAUUACUACACACGGACAUCUCAUCAUCCAUUUUCUGAGCAAAAAAUAGUAAAUGUUGCUUGAAUCACUUAAUAAUAAGUCACUUAUUAAAUGUGUUCCAAGACAAGAUAAACACAAAGUGAAAAAGUAUAAAAGUUUUUAUCUUUUUUCAUAAACUAAUCAAAAGCAUGAAGAGUUCUAUUACACUUCAGUUUAAUUUCUCAAUCAACAGGUACACUGGGAUUCAUUGCACCUGAUCAAGAAAUAGUCCCACACAUUACAUUAGAAAUACUGGGACAAAGAUUUACGCUUCACCAGCUGUGUCAUGGGUGAAAACAGCUAACUGCUUUGAGCUGAGAGGAAGAGAACUGUAACUGCAAUAACUGCUAGUUACAACCACGAUAUGCAGAAAAGUGUCUCUGUACGCUUAAGACGUGGAACCUAGAAGCAAAUGUACAAAUACAGCAGCAGAACACCACACUGGGUGCUAGUCCUGUUAGGGUAGAACAGGAAAACAAGGCUACCAUUUGUACAGGGUCACCAAAACUGGACAACACAAUAUUGCCUGAUCUGAUGAGUCAGCUUUCCUGCUGUAACAUUCAGAUGGUAGCAACAGUUCAGGCUGCUGGUGGUGUAAUGGUGGGAGGGAUACUUUCCUUACUUAUUAUCAGUCGAGCAUUGAUUAAACACCAUAGUCUCGCUCAUUAUUGUUGCUGACCAUGUUUUGUGGGAUGUGGUUGAGCAGUAGACUGAGACCAUGCUGAUAAAUGUGCAGCCACUGUGUGUUGCAAUCAUGCCAAUACAGUCCAAAAUCUCUGAGGAAUUUUUUCAGUGCCUUGUUGAAUUUAUGCCACAAAGAAUUAAGACAGUUUUUAAGGCUAAAGGGGAUCCAACCCGAUCCUAGAAUGGUAUACUAGCAACCAAAUAAAGUGGCUCGUGACUGUAAAUAACUUAAGAUAAACACAGGCUAGCUGUUGUUUCCACUGCUUCCUUUCUAGAUAUAGUCAGAUAUGAUUGGUAUAAAUCUUCUUAUCUAACUGUUGGAUCGAAAUUACAAGUGCAAUUCUGAAAGGCUUUUCAAGAAUGA